GACGAACGCUGGCGGCGUGCCUAAUACAUGCAAGUAGAACGCUGAAGAGAUGAGCUUACUCUUCUUGGAUGAGUUGCGAACGGGUGAGUAACGCGUAGGUAACCUGCCUUGUAGCGGGGGAUAACUAUUGGAAACGAUAGCUAAUACCGCAUAACAAUGGAUGACACAUGUCAUUUAUUUGAAAGGGGCAAUUGCUCCACUACAAGAUGGACCUGCGUUGUAUUAGCUAGUAGGUGAGGUAAUGGCUCACCUAGGCGACGAUACAUAGCCGACCUGAGAGGGUGAUCGGCCACACUGGGACUGAGACACGGCCCAGACUCCUACGGGAGGCAGCAGUAGGGAAUCUUCGGCAAUGGGGGCAACCCUGACCGAGCAACGCCGCGUGAGUGAAGAAGGUUUUCGGAUCGUAAAGCUCUGUUGUAAGUCAAGAACGGGUGUGAGAGUGGAAAGUUCACACUGUGACGGUAGCUUACCAGAAAGGGACGGCUAACUACGUG
rnacentral:rRNA from 1 species